GCGCCCAAAGGCGCGCGGCCCCGAAAUGGCGGCGUCCGUUUCACCGGCGGCGAGUGGGGCGGGGCGGUCUCCUCUCUGAGGUAACGCCGCGGUAGCUGGCGGCGCCAGUGCUUGUGUUUCCUCAGUACUCUGAGAAGUCCGCUGCAGCAGGGGGACGUACACAGACGUAACGUUUUUUGGAAGAGGUAAAUUCCUGUGAUCCAACCCAAGGAAACAUGAAAGCAGGAAGUGAGAUGAGGGAAGAGCCUAAGGGUUAGAAAGAGAAAAGGAGAAAGGGGGAAAAAGACUCAUACAAACUCCUAGCAUAACUGGCCCAGGUUUAUUGCUCAGCGGAACAGCACCUUUUGCUGGGUCCAGCAUAUGGCCAACAGAAGCUAUGUCAGUAUCUGCAAACUCAGCAAAUCCUGAAGGAGACUGGAUUAGGAAGCCAUUGUAUGGGUUAUUUCAAUACAAUUCCAGUAUGAUCGGACUGGAAUCAUUAGCUGAUCCUACGGACACCUGGGAAAUUAUAGAGACUAUUGGAAAAGGCACUUAUGGUAAAGUCUAUAAGGUUGCCAAUAAGAAAGAUGGGAGUCUGGCAGCAGUAAAGAUUCUCGAUCCUAUUAGCGAUGUAGAUGAAGAAAUUGAAGCAGAAUAUAAUAUUUUGCAGUCUCUUCCCAAUCAUCCUAAUGUUGUUAGAUUUUAUGGGAUGUUCUACAAAGCAGAUCAAUAUGUGGGAGGACAGCUCUGGCUAGUACUUGAGCUGUGCAAUGGAGGGUCUGUCACAGAACUUGUCAAAGGUUUGCUGAAGUGUGGCCAACGUUUGGAUGAAGCAAUGAUUUCAUAUAUCUUAUAUGGUGCUCUCUUGGGCCUUCAGCAUUUACACAAUAACCGGAUCAUUCAUCGAGAUGUCAAAGGGAACAACAUUCUUCUGACAACAGAAGGUGGAGUCAAGCUCGUUGACUUUGGUGUUUCAGCCCAGCUCACCAGCACACGGCUUCGUAGAAACACCUCAGUAGGAACACCCUUUUGGAUGGCUCCUGAGGUCAUUGCUUGUGAACAGCAAUAUGACUACUCAUAUGAUGCUCGAUGUGACGUAUGGUCUUUGGGAAUAACAGCUAUUGAACUCGGGGAUGGAGACCCUCCUUUAUUUGACAUGCAUCCGGUGAAAACUCUUUUUAAAAUUCCAAGAAACCCUCCUCCUACUUUGCUACAUCCUGAAAAAUGGUGCAGGGGAUUCAACCAUUUCAUUUCACAGUGUCUUAUCAAGGAUUUCGAGAAACGUCCUACAGUCACCCACCUUUUGGAGCAUCCAUUUAUUAAACAAGUGCAUGGUAAAGAUAUGUCCCUGCAAAAACAGCUGGCUGAGCUUAUCCAAGAACAGCAGCGACUAGGCUCUGUAGCAAAAACAAGGCAUGAACGAAUACAUACCAGAAGACCCUACCAUGUGGAUGGAGCUGACAAGUACUCUCAAGAUGACGAUCUGGUAAAUCUAGAAGUUCUUGAUGAGGAUACAAUUAUCCAUCAGCUACAGAAACGCUAUGCUGACUUACAAAUUUAUACAUAUGUUGGAGAUAUUUUGAUAGCCUUAAACCCUUUCCAGAAUCUCAGCAUUUACUCUCCACAGUUCUCCAAGCUUUACCAUGGUAUGAAGCGCUCAUCCAAUCCCCCCCACAUAUUUGCCUCUGCAGAUGCUGCCUACCAAAGUAUGGUGACAUUCAGCAAAGAUCAGUGCAUUAUCAUCAGUGGGGAAAGUGGUGCUGGAAAGACAGAAAGUGCCCAUUUGAUCGUCCAACAUUUGACCUUCUUGGGAAAGGCCAAUAACCGUGCUUUGCGUGAGAAAAUUCUUCAGGUGAAUCCUCUGGUUGAAGCAUUUGGGAAUGCCUGCACUGCCAUCAAUGACAACUCAAGUCGCUUCGGAAAAUAUCUGGAAAUGAUGUUUACACCCACAGGAGCUGUAAUGGGGGCAAAGAUUUCUGAGUAUCUACUUGAAAAGUCAAGGGUUAUAAAACAGGCUGUGGGAGAGAAAAAUUUCCAUAUAUUUUAUUAUAUUUAUGCUGGCCUUUAUCAUCAGAAGAAACUUUCUGAAUAUAGACUUCCUGAAAAAAAGCCUCCUAGAUACAUAGAUAAUGAAACUGGAAGAGUAAUGCACGAUAUUGUUACUAAGGAUUCCUAUGGAAGACAAUUUGAAGCAAUUCAGCAUUGCUUUAGAAUUAUAGGAUUCACUGAUGAGGAAGUGUACUCAGUGUACAGAAUUCUGACUGGUAUCUUAAAUACUGGAAAUAUUGAGUUUGCUGCCAUUUCUUCACAACACCAAACAGAUAAAAGUGAAGUUCCAAACCCAGAAGCCUUAGAAAAUGCUGCUGCACUGCUAAGUAUUGGAUCAGAAGAACUGCAAGAGGCCCUAACCUCCCACUGUGUUGUAACACGGGGGGAGACUAUUAUCCGAACAAACACUGUGGACAAAGCAGCUGACGUGCGAGAUGCCAUGUCUAAAGCACUUUAUGGCAGACUCUUCAGCUGGAUCGUAAAUCGUAUUAAUACGCUUCUUCAGCCAGAUAAAAAUAUAUGCAAUACUGAAAAUGGAAUGAAUGUUGGUAUACUAGAUAUAUUUGGAUUCGAGAACUUCGCAAGAAAUUCCUUUGAACAGCUGUGCAUAAAUAUUGCUAAUGAGCAGAUCCAGUUUUAUUUCAAUCAACAUAUUUUUGCACUUGAACAGAUGGAAUAUCAAAACGAGGGAAUUGAUGCUGCUACAGUGGAGUAUGAGGACAACCGUCCACUUCUAGAUAUGUUCCUACAGAAACCCAUGGGUCUCCUUUCUCUACUAGAUGAAGAAAGUCGAUUUCCUCAGGCAACAGACCUAACGUUAGUUGAUAAAUUUGAAGAUAACUUACGAUGCAAAUACUUCUGGAGACCGAAAGGAGUGGAAUUGUCAUUUGGUAUUCAGCACUAUGCUGGAAAGGUAUUAUAUGAUGCCUCCGCAUUUCUUGAGAAGAAUAGAGACACUCUUCCUGCUGACAUAGUGGUGGUGUUGAGAACCUCAGAGAACAAACUUCUUCAGCAGCUGUUUUCUAGCCCGUUAACCAAAACAGGUAACUUGGCACAGGCAAGAGCCAGAGUGACAGCGGCAUCUAGGUCUUUGCCCCCACAGCUUACUGCUGGGCGUAUUAAGGUUGACACAAUGGAAGUUAUGCGACACCCUGAGGAAACAACUAACAUGAAGCGACAAACUAUGGCUUCCUAUUUUAGGUAUUCCCUCAUGGAUCUUCUAUCCAAAAUGGUUGUUGGACAGCCUCACUUUAUCCGCUGCAUUAAACCUAAUGAUGAUCGAGAAGCACUAACAUUUUCUCAUGAGAGAGUUCUACUGCAGCUACGAUACACUGGAAUUCUGGAAACUGUCAAAAUACGUCAAAAAGGAUAUUCUCAUCGCAUCCUUUUUGAAGAGUUUGUUAAAAGGUAUUACUACCUUGCUUUCAAGGCACAUGAGUCUCCCCUUGGCAGCAGAGAGAACUGUCUCACCAUUUUGGAGAAAGCUAAACUAGAAAACUGGAUUCUUGGAAAAACCAAGGUUUUUCUAAAGUAUUACCAUAUAGAGCAGUUAAAUUUGUUCCUGCGAGAAGUUAUAGGGAGGGUGGUGAUCAUGCAGGCUUAUAUCAAGGGAUGGCUUGGAGCAAGGAGGUACAAGAAAGUCAAAGAAAAAAGAGAAAAUAGUGCUGUUACCAUACAGUCAGCUUGGAGAGGAUAUGAAGCUCGCAGGAAGUACAAGGAAAUAAGGAACAGAAGAAAUAAUGCUGCUAUACAUAUUCAAGCAGCUUUCAGGGGAUAUAUUGUUCGUAAAAACUACCCAAGACUGAAGAAGAGCACUGGCUGUGUAGCAGAUUCUCAGCAUAUGAGCAGCUGCUCUACUUCUGAUGUCGACUAUGAAGAGCACUGGCAGCAAACAAGUAACCAGUCUUCUCCUGUGGUGCCCGAUUUUCUUGACAAACAAACAAAAAAGAAGGAUUGGGAUGAGAUUGCUGCUUCUCCCUUUACUGUAAAAAAUACGUGCAAAAUGAGUGAUUCACAAUUAAUUAGCCAAUCUCAGUCAAUCGCAGACCAUCAGUCAAGCCCCCUGAGAUGUCCUAAAAAAGGAGGUUCAGAAAACUGUCUUGAACAGAAGCUGAGAACACCUCGUCGACGAUGUCAGCAGCCCAAAAUGCUGAAUAGCCCUGAGGACAACAUGUACUAUAACCAGUUAAAUGGAACUCUAGAAUAUCAAGGGAGCAAGAGGAAGCCAAGAAAACUUGGACAAAUCAAAGUGCUUGAUGGAGAGGAUGAAUAUUACAAAUCACUGUCAGCUGUUGAAUAUAUCCCUGAAGAUGACAGCUGUCUCAGUUCCCCAUCUCCUCCUUCUUCAAGAGGAGUGUCUUUCACUCAAAGCUGUACUUAUUCUGUUGACUAACACUGGAUGAGGAAAGAUGGCAUAGGAAACAAGACGCAAAUGUGGUCAGAGCAUCCAUAGGCUAGAAUAGAGUUUGAAGGUAGAUAGUUCAGCAAAAGUUUUGUCUCAAUGAAUAAACCCAGUAGUGAAGUCAGGGCAGAGCAGAUGAGAACAAGAGGAUUCUGUUGUUCCAAGAACAAGCCUUCAUUCACUUUUCUCCCACAGUCUGACAAAAGUUAAAAUCCUGCAAGAGCCAAGAGUCGUUCAGUUCACUCCUCACUCUCUUCUGCUGUACAUCUGGGUGUGGGCUUUAGAGACUUUAAAAGUUAAGGACUCAUUAAAUUGGUGAGUAGCUGCAGAUGAAUUAAUGACAUUAGAAGAUGCAGUACAACCAUGAAUGGCAAUUUGUAUGAACUCAUGCAUGCAGGUCAGUUUCUUUACUUUUUGUCAGAAUAUAACAAGAAGAAUUUGUUAUGAUUCCUCAUCAAAAAUAACAUAAAACUUUUCCUACAUAAUGCAUACAUUCUCCAGGCCCAUUAAUCUGCAACAUAUCUGGAUGGAAAAUGACAUUAUUUUGAAAACAGUUCAAUAACUAAACUAUGUUCUCAUAUUGGCAUAAGUCCUAGGGAGCUCUAGCAGUAUUGGUGCUUUGUGGUUUCAUCUCUCCUUUCUGAAAAUAAAGUUUCAUUGGGAAAAUAAUGUUUUAUUGUUAAUGCAGUGCACAUCAUUAUUAUGCAUAGUGAGAGUUUAUCAAUUGUUUCAGUUAAACAGAAGCAAGCCUUCCAGUUAGGUAUUACAUCAUUUGUCUAAAAACCAAAAGCUUAUCUUACACUGAGUAAUGCAUUAUGUGGAGUAGUUGUAUUGAUUUCAUAAAGAAGUAAAAAGAAGUAAAAAAAUAAUUUAUAAUUCAGAGAAGCACUUAAGCUGGAACCUAAGUCCUGCUGAAACCAAUGAAAUUUCAGCUUAUGAUUAAGUGCUUUGCUGAAUGGGGCUGAGUUAACAGCUUCAGAACAUUAAAUAACAAGCACAAACAAAAGGCAAACGUUCUCUAGAUGCAUUCCUUAGGUCCUUCCUAUUUCUUCUUCCCAAUUAUUAAGUUUGCUUCAAUCUCAGUCAUCAGAAAUGGACUUCAAAAGAUUUUGUGUCAUAUUUUGAGCGCUCUUGAAUUGCAUGGAAAUGGUAAAAUAUAACAAUUUCCUUGUCAUAUGAAAUGCUGCUAUCUACGUCUGAUAUAACUUUUCAAAUUGGUUUAAUGUCACUAAUAUUUUUAUUGUGAAGUUACUAACUGAGAACCACUGCAGAGUUAUGCAUUCAGAACUGUACACAAGCUGGUCUGUGUGUGGCUUUAUUUCAUAACUUACCCGUUUCUUCAUAUGCUGUUUGGCUGAUUCACUUCACACUCGCCACAUAACACCCUUGAGGUGGGUUUUUCUCAUCUUUACUUCAGUGCACGUGUAUCCCUUUAGAUUAUUAAGGGCCAUCUCCUCAGCACUGUACUGCUGGUGACCAGUUGGCAGAACAGAUUUUCACAGUUAAACAUGCAAAAACAAACUGAAUUUUAAAAAAGAUAGUUCUGAAAAUAUACAAGAUCAGAUACAAACACAGGUGCAUAAUGUACCCCAAGAAAUAGGGAGAAGCAGAGCAGGAGACGUGUCAGUCUGAUGGUCCUGGUCAGUGGGCACAUGUCAGUGCACAUUGCUCAGAUUUUCUCAUUUCGUUCAUUAUUUAUUAUUUCAUUCUGAUUUAUUGUCUUUCACGUAUAUUAUCCUGAAAUGUUAAUGUAUUUUGCUUAGUAGUUCAUAACAUCCUGUUCUUAAUAUUUUACAAAAGUAAAGCCUUUAAAUCCUGUCAUGAAAAAGAAAAUUUCAUAGACCGUGUCUGUAAUACAUUUAACGCUUUUCAGUGAAUGGGAGAGUAAAGAGCGACGACCAAUGAGAGAUUUUAGUAGCUUCCUUCUACAGACCCUAAUGGCACUAGCAGCCAGUUCUGCCUUUCCGUUAUGGCAGCAUGAAAACUCUCUGUGCCAACACACAUCGGGCAGGGAGCUUCUGGAGAUUAGUCCCUUUCAUUUGGUAAUUUUAAACUUGCUUCUCACUUAAACAUUUACAUCACUUCAGUAACAUAAAGGGACCUUAGAAUAGGAGUAAAUUGCAGCCCUCUUAAAUUUGCCCCCACUGUGACCUCCCUCACCCAUAUGCCAGAAGAGAGGUGGAAAGGGCUUUUGUGCACUGAGGAUCUUUUAAGUAGUCCCCAUCGCACCAUCUGAGGAGCUGUUACUUAAAAGCUUAUAAAAUAUACAUCUAUAUAAUGUAAAACUAGAAACUUUGGUAAGACCACUCAGACCAAAAGCUGAUGGUGGCAGUUUUGGUGGCAAUGACCACAUUUUUUAAGUGGUAGAUACUUUUCCCCCAGUACUGAACAGCUACUGAUUGUCUUGUGUUAUUUACCAUAGUUGCAUAAUGCUUUUAGGAACGUAUUCUCAGGUGAUAUUUUGUUCUAUAUUAUAUAACUGUGAGUGUUAAUACUUCCCAAGCAAUUGUCCCGUCGUCUUUUAAUUCCACCGAGUUCCUAACUUCUGAUAUCUCGUAGUUAUAAGAACUGUGCAUGGCACAUGCAAAGUGGAUUUUUUUGUUUCAGUAUAAAAGAAGAGGAAUUUAUUUAAACACGGACCUUUCUAAUGGAAUAGGGCACCUUCUCACAGCAUUGUUAGAGGAAGGAGAAUUUUGGGAGACAACCAAACUCUGGCAUUUUUUAAUGUCUUCUGGUUAACCAGAUACAUAAUAGUACAUACGAUUUAAAAUAAGGCCAUAUGGCACAGAAGUGUCAUCCUGUAUAGGAAACAACUAAGUAGUUUUAAUUCUGGUAUAUGCACAAGACAUGGCAUCUAAUAACCUCACCUAUCCUACUUUUUACUCUGAUAACAAAAUAUUUAAAAUAACAUCAAUUUUAUUGUUAGCAUCAGGAAUGUGUUUUGUUAGUGUGCCUUUUCUUUAAGACCCCUGGGGAGGAGUUGUAGCAGAAUGCUUAGUUAACAGAAAAUGUUUCUGCCUGACAGCAACGCAGGAUUUCCAGACUGACAGAAGUAGCACGGGAUGCUGUGAGAAGCCAAGGCCUGGGAGCAGCCCUCUAGGCCUGAGCUAGAGGUUAUAAAGUCGAUGAGAGGCUUUGUGUCUCCUUUGUGCUGGGACUGGAACUGGGAAGGGAAGAGGCCAACAAUUCAAAAUAAUAGCACACUGUGUCUUCAAACUCAGGCUGAUGCUGUGAUUCAUCUUAAUGGAUUUCCCAAGAAUUAUUGGAAAUUAUUUUAUUACACGUAUAAAUCCAGUAUCAGUCAGAAAAAUAAAUAUAUGCAUUGUGUUACCGGGGGAAUGUUUACUGUAGCACUCACGUGCUGUGAUGCUAGAGGACAUAGGAACAGAUAAGUGAAAAACACAUCUUGGAGUUAUAUUUCCACAAACCAGAUUACAUAUUAUUGAUCAGACCAGCAGUAGAUUAAAUCCCCUGCUUUUCUUGGGAGCCCUAUUUUUUUAACUAAGUUGCAGAGAGAGAUUAUUUUUCCACAAUUUAAAUAUCAUUUUGUAAGGUUGUUGGGAAAUGGAGAUGGCAAGUAGGUAGAUUAACAUUUGCAUUCUGCAGAAGACCAAAGUCCCAAUUUCGAAACAGUCUCUGGUGAAAAUUGGGUUUGAAGCUCUCAGCAAAACCAGUAUGGCCACAACACAGACUGGUGGCAAUCAGCUGGGCUGGAGCACAGAGUUGGGAGGGAGGGAGACCUGUCUGGGCUGUGUCCCAGAAUUAUCAUCGUAUGGAUCACAGCAAGUGUCAGGUGAAGAUAUCUGUCUAAAACUGGAGUAGCAGAAGAGAGGCAUUCUGAUGUGAGAUGUGCCAAUGGAAUGGCUGAGGCUGAGAUGGGGUGACAGGGCUUUGUGGUUCUGGUGGAAGUGAUUCUCCUAGAGCUCAGUAUUCUGGGAGGUGAUGAUACAGGAUUGCUGCUGGAGUCCUUAGCAAGGAGAGGUGAAUGUAGAAGAGGUGUUUUCACAAAUGGUGUGAUGUAGUUUAUUCAUUGUUUUCUGUUCUUACUGCUACUUCCAGUUACAAGCAACAAAUAACGCAGUUAAUGCAACUGGAACAGUUAGGUAAAGUCUGAUCUGACAGAGCAGCUCCUACUGAGAUCACAGUGUCCUUGAAACAGAAACUUCUGAUUUUGUAAUUUCUACCGCCACAGGAAUGAGCUCAGCUGAGAAGCAUAAUUACAAAUAAUCUAAUCAUUUGAGAAAAUUGAUAAUUUAAGAUCCCCAAUUCUCAUACAGAUUUCUAAGACUGCUGAAUGCUGUGGGUGAAACAAGGGAGGCUGCUUAAUCUGUCAGUCCACGCAGCUGAAACUUGGGACAAGGCAGUAUGUUAAAGACACUGCCGUUGCUUUGUCUUUAUGCCUCGAGAUGAAAGUAAACUAAAAGAGAAAUAGUGAAUGUAACCACUGUUCUUUAUAUUCUUGAUACAUAGGAUUGGUAUGAUGAAAGCUUACUUUCACAUCCAAAGAUAAUUCCUGUAUUUAAUGCAAGCAGAGACAAUUUAUUUCAUAAAAUUGAUCUGUUAGAAAUGAAGUUUUGAAAGAAAAGCAAAGUGAGAGGCUACAUGAAACUGUAUCUUGUGAUUACUUGUGUUAGAGCCUUCAGCAUUUUGAACUCAAUGCAGAUUUACAGUUGAAUUCCAAUUGGAAAUUGGUAUUGAUUGAUUAUGUUGCUCAUUUAGCAUUCCAGCAUGCUGCAACAAUAACGCAACAGACUGUGAUAAAAUGGGAUGUGAUCUAACAGGACAUGACCGGUGGGAUGAGAGCAUAGCACUGGGUCUGCUGGUAGUGCUGUGCAGUAGUUCAAGUUGGCAUCUUAUGUGCUUCGAUUGUUCAUUUCAUUUUACUGUCAUCCUACUGAGUUGAACACUUUAAAAGACACGGCGUUUUUCCAUCUGUAAGUCAUGGAAAGACAGAUGGAUAUGGAGAAUCUCCACCUACAGCACCUUGACUGAAUGCCAUUGCCCACUUAGCGGUAGAAAAAUCCCUUCUGGAAAAUUAAAAUGCCGUUAAAUAUCUUUUAUUGUGAAAGGCUCUUUAGUACAGGAAGUUACUGAUCUCUUACAAUUGAAAUGUUUGUGAUUCGUCUUUUCUUAAUGAGCCCAAGUAAAACCAACUGGUUCUUAUCAACAGAGCUGCUAUAUUAUAAACACCGCUUCUGUUACACUGAAGUUAAUCCCCAGUCCUGUUAGGAGAAACUCAUCCUUAUUAAAGUAACAUUAAGAGUUUCUUUUUAUCGAUCUGCUCCUUUCACUUAAUGAUAGGAACUUACUGAUGUUUUAAUAAUAACCUUGCAAGCUUUAUCUCAUUUUACUUCAAUGUGAGUUACAGAAAGAUGCUAUGGAAACUAACUUAGCAUAAACAUUUUGCAGAUGUCUUUAAAGGUUAGGGGAAAAAAAGAUUUAGUUGCACUGCAUGUUAACAAAGAUGGCUGAAAAACUACAAGAUAAAAGAGAGCCUGGAGUAGGAACAUCAAAGAAUUGUUAAUGACAAGAAAUACCAUUAGGGUUAGCAUCCCCUUUGUUUCAGCCCCCUCACACCUGCAGUGUGUUGCAGAUUCUGCCUUUGUUGGCACAUCUGAAUUACUUCCAUUAGCAUUUAUAGAAAAGUGGCUGCAAAACAACAGAAAUGUACCCCGGGUUUUCUCUGUUGCUCCAGAAAGUCUGAUAUUAGGUUCUCUGUGGGUUUCCUUCAAGGUACAGUAUCUUAUUGUAAAGGAGACUAUAGUCCCAGGAUUCUGUUGAUUGCAAAUGAGCGAGGUUGAAAGGAGAGGAUAGCUUUUGUUACUGCUCAAGAACUAAUAUAAGCAACUACAAGAAGCGCACAUAAGAAGCUCAGACAUUAGCAAUAGCAAAAUCAGAGCGUGAAAUUCAGAUUAGCCCUCCACAGGCUGUGAGAGGGAGGGGGUAUUGGAAGACUUGGCAUGGCUAAAGGUGUAACCUGUUUCAUUUGGCCCCUGAAAAUUUUUAACAGAUGGCGGGACCAGCUGUCUUUUUCAGCCAUUUAAUAAACUCUUCGGUGGUAACAGUUUGGGAAGUGGGGGGUUUUGAGUCUUAGGCCAGAGGAAAAAAUAAAGAAAUCUGUCCCAAUUGUCUUUGCCAAAUAGCGAAGUCUGGAAACAUUAUGAAAAGUUAAAGUGAAAAAUCUAAUUGAUGAUACUGUCCUGAUUAUCCGUUUCAGCAGCAGAGGAAAAAAGGACUGUCGGUGCCCAAGUGGACCAGUGCUCGAAAAAACGCCUAUUAUGUUGUUAUCUUUAUCUGUCAUUUUAAUUUUGGCUCUUGCAAAGGAGGCACAUGAUGAGAAAUUUAAAAUGAGCUGUAGGAUGAGAAACUGUCUUACUUUUUGAGACACGAUACUACGUCAAAGUAAUGUCUUGUGUAAAAACCAAACCCAAAUAUAUGCUGUGGAUAAGAUCAAGUUCACACGGUGAACUUAUUCUAACUUGCAUAACACAGCGAUAUCUAAUGAAAAUAAACUGCCAGUUUAGAAGCAUAUAAUGUUUGGGCUCCAGUAACCUUAGUGGUAUGUGGGGGUUUGCUUAUUACGAGUUUACCAAAAAAAAAAAAAAAAGCACUAAAAUUCUCUUUCUCCAGUUAAAUUAUUUUUUAAAAAAUUAACAUUUCCGACACAACACUUAAAUGGCAACUCUCAAUUAUGGGAGAUGUUUUAUUUAAAAAGCAUGUCUAGUGUCUUUGAACAGAACAGUUCUUUUUGCACAUUUACAUGCUACCCAGCUGAGCAGCCAACCCUUCCAUUUGACAAGGGCUUUGUUCUGCCUACAGGCCUAUUAUAAGCCCUAGAUUGUUUGCCCUUAAUAAAUUGCAACAAUAAGACAGAAACCUCUUUCAAGUUAAGAGAAAUAAAACACGUUGCCUACAUUGCAAAGCAUAUGAAGUUCAGUAAUGACAACAGAAACAUAUCUACUAAAUCUCAUUUGAUUUGCUCCCACAUCACUGCGGUUAAGAUAGCCCAGAAAGGUUACCAUCUUUCCAUACACUGAACAAAAGAUUAAAGAAAAUAACAGUGGGACAAAACAGCUCUAGCUACAGUUUCGGGCAUUUUGCUUUCUCCUACAUGAUAUAAGAUCAUACUGGAUGCUAUGUAGAGAGACCACUGGGAGCUGUUGAGCCUGAAAAAAAAAAAAAGUGAAUGUGAUUUAAUGUAGUACAGAAAAAGAAAUGUUUUUAACUAAAAUGAAAUGUGAUUUUUAUUAGGGAGAGAGAGAAAAAAAAGAGUGGCAAUUAUUCAAAUUAAAGAAUUUAUACUACUCUCCGGUGUGUUGGUGUUUGUCUGCUCAUGUGUGCCUGUCGAGCUGUCCCCUCAAUCACAAAGCCCUACCAAUUUUGCUUUUAUAGCAACUAAUGGACAUUCUUCUGUGGCACAAGUGUUGGUUGGGAGCUUGUGAUCUUAAACAAAAUUGCUGAGCCCUGUUUAUGGGGCCCCGUUUGCAGCAUUCAGCUGCCAGCUGUGUUGUUUGUGUUUGCUAUAAGUUGUUAGAAAAGGCCACCUUUGUUGAGCUUAGAUCUUCUGCGUAUUUUCUUCACUUAAGCUAGAAAUUCCCAAUGAUUUUUAGAGCGUGUCUACAAAUUAUGAAGAAAAUAGGAGGCAGUGUGCAAAAGAAACAGACACCUUGGACUCUGCAACAGAAAAAUUAAGGAAGGUGAGCUUACUUGUCAGUAGAUCACUAGGAAUUGAAGCGAUUUAAAAGAGCUGUCUCUGUUAGAAACUUGUUAGUAACUCGACGCAGUGUUUUCAGAAAUGAAUUCCAGUCACUGGUUCAUUUGUAGUUUACAUUUUUUAAAUGCUUUCUUUUAAUUUGCAGAUGGAAGUCCUGAGGAUAUAGAUAUUUCUUUGCUUUGAUAAUAAGAGAAGGACACUUGGUAGUGGAAGUGAUGCUGGCAGCUCAAAGUACAGCAAUACAAACUUUCAAAGGAAAUGUAGCAUUUAUAACAGGUAUCGAUUCCUUUGCUUUAAAGGCUACUUUUUAUUCUUUUAAGGUGGUUUUGACCCAUAGAUGACUGUUGAGAACUAUUAGUCAUUUUCUUGGGAACAUUUGAUAUUUCAGAUACCUCUGCUUUUCUUCUCUUAAGCCACAGUAUGCAGGAAAUGCUACAGCCACCCUGCUCUCCCAGGAAGGGGGAACUAAAGAUGAAGGUGGCCGUGGCUUUUUCCUCUCCUGUCUUCUUUUGUGUCACAAAGAAUUAGAGGUGGAUUCUUCAUUGUCUGCCACGGCACAGUGACAAGGUGCCAGCUUCGCUGCUUCUCCCAACUGCUGCACAGACCCCAAAAGAGAACGUCAUUUGUUAUUUCUGAGAGGGUGGAGCCGUCGUGUUUUACCCUGCUGCUUCCGACAGGGUUCAUCUCUGCUGUAUCCAAAUCUGGGUGGCACUUAGGUGAAGAAUUUUAAGGGAUGCACAUGAGAAAAUUAGUGUUAAUGAUUUUUGAUGAAGGGGGAAAAAAUGGACUCAGAAACAACAAAGUAGAAAAAUACGAUGUGAGGGAUUUAGAAGAAAAGGGAGGAAACUACCUGACAGAAGGAGGGGUUAAAAAAAAGGAAGGAACUGUUAGUUUCAAGGAAGGGGCAAUCCUGAGUUUUAAAUUUUUAAGAUGAUCCGUAGUAUAGGCUAUCAUGAAGCCUCAAAUCUUCUUGGAGAGCCUCUGGAGAUGCCUGUAAUACUGUAGUAGAAAGCCACUUGGAGAUGCUUUGGAAGCUUCUUGAGGAGACGAGUGGUAUAGUUACUGUGAAUCCAAAUAAAUGCCUUUAAAAUGCAAAGGUACAAAUGGAAUGGUAAUUGGAGUUCCAUAACUGAAGACAAAUAAAAUUUAUCAGAUCUAAAGCUCCUAGAUGUUCUAAACACUCGCUUUUCAACAAUUUUUUGAUGGUGCAAAGUAGAAGUUUUUUAGUUUCUUUUUUUCUUUCUGGGUCUGCAGCAUUGCAAGGAAUCGGGUUUUAAAGACAUUAAAACUAUUGUAUUUUAUAUUUUAUAAACCUACAGUAAGGUUUAGAAAGAAUCUUUCCUGUCAUAAGGCACUUUGAGUUUACAGAAAAUGCCAACGGGAGAAAAACAGAAGAAGCAUGCCUGGGAUUUAAUUUUCAAAAAGAGCAAUUGUUCAGUGUGCUACAGACUUUGUAGUUGGGACUCCAGAGAGACGGCCUACUGGUAGGUGAUAGAAAUCUUAGGCAGGUGAUAAAUGUGCUGUUUGUGAGCCUUCCUAUGCAGAGGACUGGGUUUUGAGAAUGAUGCUGUCUAAAAAACUUAUUUUCAUCUUAUUUUCUGGGGCUUCAUUGUGUCACAAGAAAUGUUUUGCUUCUUCAGACAAAUUGCACAGAGGUCAAUAUAUAUAAUAUCUCUACCAUGCAUUUAUGUUUUCACCUCCAAAUCAAACUGAUCAAGAGAUAUUAGAUAAAUACCAAGAGAACAAAAUACAUCACUGAUUUUUCAAGCUCCAUCCUGUAAAAACCCAAGAUUCACUCAACUAUCUGAAUAUUUAUUAUACUUUUUUCUCCAUACAAAAAGAUCUGAUGGUUAUAGCCCAAUUACAAUUAAACACAUAAUCUGUCUGCUUAGCAAGGCUGAAUCUGGGUGCUUUCAUUAAAAUCAGAGUGUUUGUGGAUUUGACAAAAUAAUUAAUCAGCAGCUGGAAAAUCAUGUUUAACAAUAGCUCACAUAUAGUCUAAUGGGUAGCAUGACAAGCUUGUUCUUAGCAUCUUAGGAGUCUUCAUUAUACUCUCUGUAUAACAGUGUAUAGCUGAAGAUAACAGAACACAACCUGGACUGAAAUUUAGGACAUGCAGGAGGGCUGUUGAACAAGGUACAGGCAGAAAACAUUUUCUGUGUCCUAAAUUGUUCUGAAUGGCCAAGAAUAGAAAGCACCACAAACAGUCCGGACUUCCAUGUUGCAAGCAUGCAUGUUAUGUUGUAGCUGCCUGUAGGACUGGGGAACCAGCCAAAUGCCGAUCAGCAAGGAGCUGGAAUGAGUGUUUUCCCCAGUAAGGGAAAACACUGAGUAUCCCCAAACUGGACUGACACGGAAAUAUGGUUGUCUGGUGGUCUCUUAUGAAUUAGCAAGUACCUGGUUGUUUGUGCUCGGUACACUCAGUGUUAGAAUUACAGAGGCACACUAUGCCCACCUAAAGGCCAUUCUGUCUUUAUAAAGAAAAGGUGUGAAGCUCAAUUCUUCAGUUUCCAUCUGCUGCUCUAAAUACUGUCCACCAGGCUGGGUAGUAAUAUCAGUGGUGGACAUGUUGGCUUAUCAUCGUGCUUGCACAGGCCACAUGCUUGUUAUCUGCUCUUCUCAGCAGCUUCCCACAGAAAGAUUGUUAUCUGCUCAUAAUUCAAAGCUGCUGAGAGAGGGUACAAGAGUCAGGAGAGACUACUUGAAAUUGGGGGUGAGAAGGAUUGAGAAAAAAAGGGCAAUGAGGUGAAACAUCCUAACAAUAUGGCCCCAAGUUAGACGCCUCUUCAGUAGGGUUAGGAUGUGGUGUGGGUCAAGAUGUGUUGUCUCCUGUGGUUUCCUUUAGUAUGAAUAGAAUAAUAACACACUACUUCUUUAUAAAAGAGGUAUGAAGAUAAAUGCUUUAAGACCGUGUGCUCAGCACUGCAGUGACAAGUACAACAGAUUGACUGAAGCUCCUCCCAAAACACGCACCUCACAGUUUGACCACAGUUCUUACUCAGGCCUGCCUCAAGACUUUGCUCACUGAUCCAGUUCCUAUGUUUUCCCAGCUCCACAGCUGCUCCUGUCAUUCAGACAAAUCUCCUGAAUUGGGCCUGUUGCUUUGAUGCUCCUUUCCAUGCCCACAGCACUGAGCCCUACUCCUGGGUAACAUUCCCUGUCCCUGGUUGGUUGGCUGGUGUACACAGAGAUGGCAAAAGGUGGACUGUGAAAACUACCUGGACUGCUGGCUGGGAACAGGAAGAACAAGAAAGUGGAAAUAAAGUUUCCACCCUUUAUUUAUAUAUGUUGAAUAGAUAGAUAGAUAGAUAGAUAGAUAGAUAGAUAGAUAGAUGUAAGAAUAUAUAUAUGCCUGUGUAGAGACUUCUGAGUGAAAUGUUAUUUUAGCCAAAAAAAGAACACCCUACAGAGAUGAAAACGGCUUCAAUCAAUCAUUCAGAGCAAACUGAGAUGCUCCAUUCGGUUUGGUAUUCUCAUUACCCGUGACCCCAGCACCAGCAUGUACGCAGCCAUGCCCACUCCCAGUUCUCCCGGCCGCUCUCAGCACUACUACGGUGUGAGCUCUCAAGUUGCAUUUCUGCUUCACCACCACAAGUGACAGCCUUUUGCCUCUGUCCCCCCUGUGAAAUGCUGUCUUGCACAGGAAAAGGAGAUCAAACGCAUCCAGCCUGUAACACACAAACAGAGCCAGGAUCUGGCAAGCGAGGGGCUGCCGGAAUAUCAGCAGAGAGAAGAUUCUGCUGCAGCCUAACAAGAAGGUCCUGGCCCCAGGCUGCUCCCUCCUGGUUUGGUGCAUCUGAGCAGUGGUGCUGCUCCACUCUGUGCAGCUGCUUCCCACCUCCUACAUCCCUCUGCUACUGCUUUCUGGUUUUUGAUGCUUAACUUCAAGCAAUGCAAGUAGCCUAUAAAGAACAGUGGAGCAUAUACCAAAGGAAAGAGCAAAGGUGAUUGAAUUGUGCUGUUUGUAGGUAAGAAUGGGCAAAUACUGAUCAGCUGAGGUGCCUCUGACUGGCAGAGCAAUAGCAAACAGAGGAAGUGGUUUGUUUUAUAGACAAUGCGAUCAAAAUCUCUGUGAGAGCCGUAAAAUAGAGAGCAGCCACUGAAGUGAUGACCACUGAGGCAUAUGGUAUCUAAAUUAACACGGAGCAUAGCAUCUCCUGGGAGGAGGUCAUCAGGGUAUCAUGAGGCUAGGGCAGAAGGCUCCUUUUGUCUCUUCCUACAUUAAAUUCCUAAGAUAAGGUAACACUAUACUCAUAUGGAAAACCAGAUAAAACUGGAAAUGCAAUGGGUUUUUUUGAGUCUUUGACACCAAGUUUAAAGGAUAAGGCUAUGCACAUUGCUGGAACUCUUAUCCUUUUUGGGGAGGGUGGGAAGAACUACCUCUAAUCCCUCUGUGUGAUUUCUAAAUCUUGAUUUAAGAGGGAUUUUGAUUACUCUGUUCUCUUAUAAACACUGUUUUACUUCUAGAAUGCAAAUGAUCUUUUCCUUAAUUUAGAGCCAAGUAAAUGAGAACAGGCAGGAGAAAUUCAUAAAUCAACUGAUAACUAUAUCUCAUUAAAGAGAAUCAUUGGCACUGAGGAACAGCUUCUCUCUGAAUCACUGCAUGUGCCAAGUAUUCUUAGCGUGAAAAAUGUAGCAAAGCACGAGCCCGCCUCAGUUCUUAUGGGCAGCUACUCCACUCACUGCUGUAUGAAUUCUGACAGAAGAGCACUGUGGCACAACCCAGUGCUUGAGGGUAUCGGUAUGGAUACUUGGUUGUUUUGUUUGUUUGUUUUUUCUCCAGCCUUUCUUAUUGUAAGAUGAAAAAUGUGGGAAAAUGGUCCCUUUUGGUUUCCUGUGGCCUCCUGAGAAGCAGUCAGUGAUGCUCGAUGACAGAUUUCUCCUGAAUCCCAUUAUUUGGGUUUGGAGCUCAUGUGACAGAGCUGUGCCAUUUGGACACUGGAGUCCCAGCACUGCAGCAUCAUAAUCUCUCUCACAUUUCCCAGCAUAAGAACUGGCUAAUUUAGACUAAGGGUUAGGUAAUUUAGAUUAAGAAUGCAUUUUCAUUUUAUUGCAUUAUCUGUCCUUAACCACAGAGCCUUCUCUUUCAUAUAUAAUAUGUGAUACUCUCUGUUCGGUAAAGCUAGAGUAUGGGGCUUCCUGCAUAUAGAAUGAAAAACAGGGAUGUGACAUUUACUGAGGGAGAGGGGCCCGAUAGUGUACUCUUUUCUGCUUGCCCUCCAUCUCACGUGUUCUAGAAGUGUGGGGAAAAUGCUGUUUGUUAGGCUGGAGCUGGAGCCAUGGCCAUGCUGGCAGCCCUGCCUCUGAGAGGAAUGUCCUUUUUCCUCUCCUUGUCCUGUGUUCUCAAACAUCUGGCCAAGCAGUGCAGCCCUGGGUGAGAAGGGCUUACUGAAGAGUAAUGUGAAGUAUGACUCAUGGCCAGUUUAGGAUUAUGCUUUGGCUUGACAUGACCAGCUAGCGGGACAUGCCUCAGCUGGUGCUCCCUGGUCACUGCUGCUUCACUUCAGGGUCCUGAGCUCUGGACAGAGCUGGGGUGGUUUGGUGAAGAGUUUGGUGAACAGCAGCCAGGUAAUAUCUCAGAGGAAGGCAAGGGUUCCUCUUUCCAAGCCCAGCACUGCUGUGUGGGUGCCUACAGAUGCUGUCUGGUAAAGAUGGGGAUGGAAGCUGGUCCUGCUGCAUAGACUAUAGUGAGAAUGUAUUUGUGUUUGUAUAGCACUGUGAGGAUAGAGAGCGUACAACUGCAGUAUGCAUUUGGAAUCAUUUUGCUGUUUCUUUGUAAAUUUUUGUUUGAAUAGUUUGCAUCAUUUAUGCACUUACCUGCACCAGUGAGGCAUCGAGGUUUGAAGUGAAACAGAAGCAAACCAUGCACCGCGUUCUGAGACCUUUCUGUCCAUUCUCCAGGGCCGCUUUUAUACAUCUUUCUGCCCAGCUAAGGAGAGAGUUCUUUCAUCUUCAUAGCCAAGGCUUUUCCCAGACCUCCUUGGUGCCCCAGGCCCAUGUCCACCUCCUUGGUGCCCCAGGCCCACUGGGAGCACACCAGUGCCCUGAGGCAGUGCUGGAAGUACUUGGAGGUUUGUUCUUUCUACUGGAUUCAUCUCAAAAACUCUCCCCAUGUUCGUGGGCACUCACCUACGUGGUGUCAGUAGGCACAAGGAGCACUGCCUGCCUUUCACUAAUAUGUAUGCAUUGCUGGCAUAAUCUACCUUACAAGUUUAGAGUGUCUAGGGAGGGUCUUGAGGCUUCGGCAGUGCCUCUUUCCCAGCACACCGCCAGUCCCACUCGGGUUUUUUUUUUCCCGCCUUUUUUUUCUCCUCAGAGACUCUGUGAAGAGCACUUGCACUUGGUGAGAAAAAGUGCGGGCUUGUGGAGCACUCCUGUUCAGCAGCAGUCCGUGAUGAACAGGUUGUUUCAGAAGUGACUCUGAGAUGCUGAAAAACGUUGCAUUUAGAAAAUAUAUUUUUGGCACCUGAAUGUUCCGCAACGCCAUUAGGAGCUCACGGAAUAACAGGUGCACUUCUACAGUGCUGGAUCGAUCCACUGAGCCAAACCCAGGGCAACGUGGCAGCCGUGCCAUCACCCAAAGCGUGGGCUGAGCAGCGCUCCUGCUCCCAAACUCGGUGCUCUUUGCAGUUUUAGCGCAGCACAGAUACAACGAAUUACGAGACCCGGUUUUGAAACAGUUCGCUGCUGGGCCUCCCGCCCGCCACGGCCGUCCCGUCGCAGCGCUCCCCCCGUGCCGGAGCCCCCCGGGCGUUACGCGGCUGCUGCGGGCGGGAUGCGACACGGGGUCGGGUUCCGCUUCUCCCCGGUACUCCGCGCGGAGCCGUGGGAGAGGACUCGGCGCUUUAAUCCCUUCAAAAGACAGCGGCCUAAUUCAGCUCGACGACUCUUGGAAGUCUUUGAGCGGGCGGCGAUUGUUUCCACGGGAAAGGCAGAUAAGGAUCUCUGUGCCGGCAUUUAAAGGGCCUGCGGCGGCGGUGUGAAUGCAAUCGCACCCGACGGCCGCGCGGAGGAUCGAGUUACCCGGGCUGAUGGCUUCGCAGGGCCGCGGCCCGGCGCUGCCCCGGCCCCGGGGGGGUGCGGAGGAGCUCGGAGCUCCGCCCGCCCGCAGCUCGGGACCGCCCGCAGCCAAAGGCGCUGCCGAGAGGGACUCUGCCUUCGUUUAAAGGAGCGCGGUGGUGGCGGUCGGCGCCCGCUGGGUGAGAG